UUUCCAUCUUCUUCCUUCCUUCCUUCUCUUCUCUUUUCCUCUUUCUUUUUCUUUCUGAUAACUCUCUCUUUCAUUCUUAUCUCUUCCUACUACUUCAUAUCUAUUACUUCCUUCUUUCUUUCUAUACCGCACAAAUAUACAUAUAACAUAUAAUUUAUAUGUAUUAUAAUAUUAGAUAUAAUAAAAAGUAUCUCAAUUGAUAUUUUGUCUUCCAGUACCAAUUGACCAAUUAUUAAUGUUACCAAAAUAUCUUCUCUUGUACUUAUUAAUGUUA
rnacentral:lncRNA from 1 species